rnacentral:rRNA from 1 species
GGAAUCUUCGGCAAUGGACGAAGGUCUGACCGAGCAACGCCGCGUGAGUGAAGAAGGUUUUCGGAUCGUAAAACUCUGUUGGUAGAGAAGAACGUUGGUGAGAGUGGAAAGCUCAUCAAGUGACGGUAACUACCCAGAAAGGGACGGCUAACUACGUGCCAA